ACGGUUUGUUGAUGACUUCUCCACUAACUAGAAUGUUUUGUUUCGCAGCCUUCCGCCCUAUUCUGCUGCUGAUUUCUUGUUGAUGAGUGCUGUUUGGAUCCAGCCAUCCUAUUUCUCUGCUGAUAUCACUCUGAUCCAUCUUGAAGUAUCUGCUCCAUCGGCACACCCUUCCCUGUCCACGCUGUCGCCUUCGCUGACGUCUUCUUGGCAGCGAUCGGCAGGAGGGAUACUUCUUUGCGGACGGCUCGCGCGUGGAUCGAAAGGCCGGCACCGGUUCUUAGACUCUGGACAAAAAGCAAGAACUAGUCAACAAAACCGUCGCCGGGCGCGAGAUGGUGGUGAGGUGAAAGAGCAUCAAUGACUACCGACAGAAGAACUCCGGGUGGACGAUGUACGAAUACGAGAUGUGUUCUUCCGGCUUAUUUGACAUUUGUUUUGACGGUGGUGCCGUCGGAGGUGGCCUGAUGCAAGAUCUUCAGAGAACUCGUCUCUCGAAACCGGGAAGAACACAUCUCAUCUCGUCUAUCGUCCACCCUCUUUCGCCGGCCGUCGUUAAAGGAAAGUCAGCUCUUUCGUCCCACCCACGAUCUCGCACCCAUUCGUAAAAGGAAAGCCGACCGAUUUCUUGCUUUUUUACAGAGUGGAAGAACCCAUUCGUAACCUUAGGGUUUGAAAAACCUAUGAGGCUCGGUUCUUCCGGGGCCGAGAUGGGCUGCCGGGAUGGACUCGACCCAAGUUCUUGCUUUUUGAACGUGGACUCAACCGUUUUGAUAGAACCGGUUCCGGCCUUUCGCUAUUCUCGGGCUUACGCUCCACAAAGAAUCCCUCUUGCCGAUCGCUGCCAAGAAGAUUCCACGGCUCGGUGCCGUAGAUGUUGGUGAAGGCGAAAGCGCGGCCAGGGAAGGAGGGGAUUGUCGGCGACCUAGUUGGUGAGGUAGUCGACCACGAGUUCCUUCCCACGAC
rnacentral:lncRNA from 1 species